ACCAAACCAAUGCACAACUCCUAUGUACUGAUGGUGAUCUUACAUAUCCCGAAGCUACUGCCCGACUACGCUGUGCAACGUUCUCAGGGCCUCCUGAAGCUGCGUCAGGCGUCAAUCAAAGAACACAACCAAGAGUUUGGCCUUUUCUUCAGCACUGGGAAUUGUGAUCCAAAGCUUUUCCUGAUGAAGCACAAUCUUGGAGAAGCAAAACGCAAACUAAACAACAACAAUCAAACAGAACAGAGUUAAUCUGCUGUAGCUCAAGGGAGGACGUACCUGCCCCACCCCGCAUUCCCGAGCUCGGGUUUGCCUUGCUGACCUCUGCUGCCACCU
rnacentral:lncRNA from 1 species